UACGAAGGGGGCUAGCGUUGCUCGGAAUCACUGGGCGUAAAGGGUGCGUAGGCGGGUCUUUAAGUCAGGGGUGAAAUCCUGGAGCUCAACUCCAGAACUGCCUUUGAUACUGAGGAUCUUGAGUUCGGGAGAGGAUAGCGGAAUUCCCAGUGUAGAGGUGAAAUUCGUAGAUAUUGGGAAGAACACCGGUGGCGAAGGCGGCUAUCUGGACCGACAUUGACGCUGAGGCGCGAAAGCGUGGGGAGCAAACAGG
rnacentral:rRNA from 1 species